AGUUGUAAAGCGGCAAACACAAAAAGGAUCGAAGGCCAGAAAUACUUUUGCAAGGCCAUUAAAGCUCGUGCCCCUGAAGCGAUCCAAAUUCUGCUGUGUGCUGGUCGGAGCUUGUGUGGGAAAUAAAGUCUCUACAAGCUGGUUCUACAUCAUUCAGAAUGAGUUAUCUAAGCCAAUGAAGACCACGUGACACAACCACGUAUCUGCAUUCAUAGAAGAGCC